AGAGUUUGAUCCUGGCUCAGGAUGAACGCUGGCGGCGUGCCUAAUACAUGCAAGUCGAACGCUUUACCUUGGUAAAGAGUGGCGAACGGGUGAGUAAUACAUAAGUAACCUGCCCACGACAGGGGGACAACUGCUGGAAACGGCAGCUAAUACCGCAUGGGUAGGCAGUACGCAUGUACUGCGCUAUGAAAGCAGCUGAGGCUGCGGUAGUGGAUGGACUUAUGGCGCAUUAGCUAGUUGGUGAGGUAACGGCCCACCAAGGCGACGAUGCGUAGCCGACCUGAGAGGGUGACCGGCCACACUGGGACUGAGACACGGCCCACACUCCUACGGGAGGCAGCAGUAGGGAAUUUUCGGCAAUGGGCGAAAGCCUGACCGAGCAACGCCGCGUGAAGGAAAAAGGAAUUCGUUCUGUAAACUUCUGUCAUAGAGGAAGAACGGUAUGAUCAGGGAAUGGGUCAUAAGUGACGGUACUCUAUAAGAAAGCCACGGCUAACUACGUGCCAGCAGCCGCGGUAAUACGUAGGUGGCGAGCGUUAUCCGGAAUUAUUGGGCGUAAAGAGGGAGCAGGCCGCACUAAGGGUCUGUGGGGAAAGCCCGAAUCUUAACUUUCGGCAACCAUGAAAACCAUAAAGCUAGAGUUGUGUGAAAGGAUCGGGGAAUUCCCUGGUGUAACGGGGAAAAUGGCGAAAAAAAAUGAAAGAACCCCCGGGGGGAA
rnacentral:rRNA from 1 species